rnacentral:rRNA from 1 species
UUCUGACCGUAAACGAUGCCAACUAGCGAUCCGCCGGUGGAUUUUUAGCCCUGGUGGGUAGCUUCCCGGAAACGAAAGUCUUCCGGUUCCGGGGGAAGUAUGGUUGCAAAGCUGAAACUUAAAGGAAUUGACGGAAGGGCCCACCAGGAGUGGAGCCUGCGGCUUAAUUUGACUCAACACGGGGAAACUCACCCGGCCCGGACACCGUAAGGAUUGACAGAUUGAUAGCUCUUUCAUGAUUCGGUGGUUGGUGGUGCAUGGCCGUUCUUAGUUCGUGGAUCGAUUUGUCUGGUUUAUUCCGAUAACGAGCGAGACUCUAGCCUACUAAAUAGUAACGAGAUUAUCAAUGUCUCAGUUGCUUCUUAGAGGGAUUUUCGGUGUUUAGCCGCACGAGAUUGAGCAAUAACAGGUCUGUGAUGCCCUUAGAUGUCCGGGGCUGCACGCGCGCUACACUGGCGAAAUCAGCGUGCUGUAUCCAUUCUCGAAAGGGAUUGGUAAACCCAUGAAAAUUUGCCGUGCUUGGGAUCGGAAAUUGCAAUUAUUUUCCGUGAACGAGGAAUUCCAAGUAAGUGCGAGUCAUCAACUCGCUCUG